UACGGAGGGGGCGAGCGUUAUUCGGAAUUACUGGGCGUAAAGCGCGUGUAGGCGGCGCCGCAAGUCAGGGGUGAAAUCCCGGGGCUCAACCCCGGAAUUGCCUUUGAAACUGCGGUGCUUGAAUCAGGCAGAGGAGUGUGGAAUUCCUAGUGUAGGAGUGAAAUCCGUAGAUAUUAGGAGGAACACCAGUGGCGAAGGCGGCACUCUGGGCCUGUAUUGACGCUGAGACGCGAAAGCGUGGGGAGCAAACAGG
rnacentral:rRNA from 1 species